CCUACGGGUGGCAGCAGUGAGGAAUAUUGGUCAAUGGGCGCGAGCCUGAACCAGCCAAGUAGCGUGAAGGAUGACGGCCCUACGGGUUGUAAACUUCUUUUAUACAAGAAUAAAGUGAGGCACGCGUGCCUUUUUGUAAGUAUUUUAUGAAUAAGGAUCGGCUAACUCCGUGCCAGCAGCCGCGGUAAUACGGAGGAUCCGAGCGUUAUCCGGAUUUAUUGGGUUUAAAGGGAGCGUAGAUGGGUUGUUAAGUCAGUUGUGAAAGUUUGCGGCUCAACCGUAAAAUUGCAUGUGAUACUGGCCGUCUAGAGUGCAGUUGAGGUAGGCGGAAUUCGUGGUGUAGCGGUGAAAUGCUUAGAGAUCAUGAAGAACUCCGAUUGCGAAGGCAGCUUACCAAACUGCCUCUGACAUUGAUGCACGAAAGUGUGGGUAGCAAACAGGAUUAGAUACCCGGGUAGUC
rnacentral:rRNA from 1 species